rnacentral:rRNA from 1 species
GGGCGGACGCCUACCAUGCAGUCGAGCGCAGUAGCAAUACUGAGUGGCAAACGGGUGAGUAUAAUGUGGGAAUCUGCCUUUUGGUCUGGAAUAACACGAGGAAACUUGUGCUAAUACCGGAUAAGCCUUUACAGGGAAAGUUUUAAUGCCGAAAGAUGAGCCCGCACUUGAUUAGCUAGUUGGUGAGGUAAUGGCUUACCAAGGCAACGAUCAAUAGCUGUUCUUAGAGGAAGACCAGCCACAUUGGGACUGAGACACGGCCCAAACUCCUACGGGAGGCAGCAGUGGGGAAUCUUGCACAAUGGGGGAAACCCUGAUGCAGCGAUGCCGCGUGAGUGAAGAAGGCCUUUGGGUUGUAAAACUCUUUCGUCGGGGAAGAAAAUGACUGUACCCGAAUAAGAAGGUCCGGCUAACUUCGUGCCAGCAGCCGCGGUAAC